rfam:Flavobacterium psychrophilum JIP02/86 complete genome
UUUGAACUUUAAUUAAGAACAUGAACACAUUUUUAAACAAUACUUGGUGGUGGAAUAAUUUACGUCAAACGUCGUGAACUAAUCCUCUAUAUUGUAUUUUUAAAACUCAAAAUAUAAAAAAGGCUUGUC